rnacentral:rRNA from 1 species
UACGGAGGGUGCGAGCGUUGUCCGGAAUCAUUGGGCGUAAAGGGCGCGUAGGUGGCCCCUCAAGCGUGCGGUGAAAGUCAGGGGCUCAACCCCUGAUCGGCCGUGCGAACUGGGGAGCUUGAGCACUGUAGAGGCAGGCGGAAUUCCGGGUGUAGCGGUGGAAUGCGUAGAGAUCCGGAAGAACACCGGUGGCGAAGGCGGCCUGCUGGGCAGUUUUUGCUGACACUGAGGCGCGACAGCGUGGGGAGCAAACAGG